UACGAAGGGGGCUAGCGUUGCUCGGAAUCACUGGGCGUAAAGGGCGCGUAGGCGGACUCUUAAGUCGGGGGUGAAAGCCCAGGGCUCAACCCUGGAAUUGCCUUCGAUACUGAGAGUCUUGAGUUCGGAAGAGGUUGGUGGAACUGCGAGUGUAGAGGUGAAAUUCGUAGAUAUUCGCAAGAACACCAGUGGCGAAGGCGGCCAACUGGUCCGAUACUGACGCUGAGGCGCGAAAG
rnacentral:rRNA from 1 species